rnacentral:misc_RNA from 1 species
CAAGUUCCGUAGUGAACCUGCGGAAGAUCAUUAAAAAUGGAGUGCGUUGUUUUGUCACCAUUAAUAAUCCUACCCUUUGUGAAUUUGUUUGUGUAUAAUUUUUUCCAAUGAAAAAUAUUUGUCUAUCCUGAAGAAAGUAGAAUUACUUUUUUAGGGAGUAGAUUUAAUAAUUUUUCAGUGAAAGACCUUUUUUUAAAUUAAACUUUGUAUUCAUUGUCUAAUUGUAAAAAAAUAAUUUAAAACAACUUUGACAAUGGAUCUCUUGUUCUCGCAACGAUGAAGAACGCAGCAAAUGCGAUAAGUAAUGUGAAUGCAGAACGUGAAUCAUCAAUCUCGAACGCAUAUGCACUUUUUAGUUUACUAAAAAGUAUGUCUGUUGAGUAUCAGUAAAUAUUCUCAUAAAGCGUGCGCUUUUAUGGUUAUGAGUGUUUACAACGAUAACAGUUGUUUCACUUUAAAUUCAUUUUAAGCCAUCCGUUUGGUUUUAAAAUAAUUAAAAUUGGAUAAAUUUCCUGUAAAAGGAAUAACCUAUUUCAGUUUUAGUUUUUUAAUCCAAGCCAAGGCCAAACAAAGGAAUUUCAAUACAAUCAACUUGAUCUCAAUCAGAUAAGAUACCGCUGAACUUAAGCAUAUCAAUAAGCGGAGGAAAGAAACUACAAGGAUUCCUUAGUAACGGCGAGUGAAGCGGGAAGAGCUCAAAUUUGAAAUCUUCAGGUUUACCUUGACGAAUUGUAGUUUAAAGGAGUGUUUUCUGUUAGUGGAGUGGCAAAAGUUCUUUGGAAUAGGACAUCAUAGAGGGUGAGAAUCCGUAUUGGUCAUUCCUCCUAGCUUUGUGAUACACUUUCAAAGAGUCGGAUUGUUUGGGAUGCAGUCCAAAAUGGUGGUAAUUCAUCUAAGCUAAAUACUGGCGAGAGACGAUAGCGAACAAGUACCGUGAGGGAAAGAUGAAAGACUUUGAAAGAGAGUUAAACAGUACGUGAAAUUGUCAAAGGGAAGCGUUGACACCAGUGUUGUUGGAGAAUCAUUGUGUGGAACGGUUGUUGUGGGUUGAGACCUUAUCAGCUCUCCUUACUCUUUACCUUUUUCACGCAAUGCACUUCUCUUUAACAAGUCAACAUCAAUUCUUCUGUUGUAAAAGGUCAGCGGAAGGUGCUUCUUUUCGGAGAAGUGUUAUAGCCGUUGAUCUCUACAAUCGAGAGAUUGAGGUCUGCAGCGUAGAUCCUUCGGGUUAGAUACGUCGGUGCUAAGUUAUAAUCAUAUAGACACUUGUGAC